rnacentral:rRNA from 1 species
CAAAAACUUGGUCCUGAUUUUAUUGUCAGCUUUGAUUAAACCUAUACAUGCAAGUAUCCGCACCCCUGUGAGAAUGCCCUACAUAUUCCUACCCUGGAAAGAAGGAGCAGGCAUUAGGCACAACUUUAGUUAGCCCAUCACGCCUUGCUUAGCCACACCCCCAAGGGAACUCAGCAGUAAUAAACAUUAAGCAAUAAGUGCAAACUUGACUUAAUUACAAUCAAGAGAGUCGGUAAAACUCGUGCCAGCCACCGCGGUUAUACGAGAGACUCGAGUUGACAAACGCCGGCGUAAAAUGUGGCCAAUAUUCUAUUUUACUAAAGCCAAACAUCUUCAAGGCUGUUAUACGCUUUCGAAGACAAGAGGCCCCACCACGAAAGUGGCUUUAAGUAGUAGGACCCCACGAAAACUAGGAACCAAACUGGGAUUAGAUACC